rnacentral:misc_RNA from 1 species
UUGUUUUUUAAUUAAAAACUAGAAUGAAAGGUUAUACAUUCAAAUUUCUUUAUUAAUUUUUUAAUAAAUAAUUUAUAUUAAAUAUAAAAAUAUAUUUACAAAAAAAAAAGACGACAAGACCCUAUUAAAUUUUACUUAUAGUUUAGCUGGGGAAGCUUUUCAAUUAAAAUUUUUUUAAAAAAUUAAAUAAAUAUCUAAUAAAAUUAAAAUUUUAAUAAAUUACUAUAGGGAUAACAGCAUUAUAUUUUUUAAAAGUUCAUAUUAAAAAAAAUGAUUGUGACCUCGAUGUUGAAUUAUAUUUUCUAUAUUUAAUGCAAUAAUUAUAUAAGUAGAUCUGUUCGAUCUUUAAAAUAUUACAUGAUUUGAGUUCAAACCGGUGUAAACCAGGUUGGUUUCUAUCUUUUUAUAUAUUUUUCUAGUACGAAAGGACAAAAAAAUUUUUAUUUUAAUAAAUUAGCAAAUAAAUGCAUUAGAUUUAGAAUCUAAAUAUAUAUAUAUAAUU